rnacentral:rRNA from 1 species
UAAUACGAAGGGGGCUAGCGUUGUUCGGAAUUACUGGGCGUAAAGCGCACGCAGGCGGUUUGUCUAGUCAGGAGUGAAAGCCCGGGGCUUAACCCCGGAAUAGCUCUUGAUACUGGCAGACUUGAAUCACGGAGAGGGUAGUGGAAUUCCGAGUGUAGAGGUGAAAUUCGUAGAUAUUCGGAAGAACACCAGUGGCGAAGGCGACUACCUGGCCGUUGAUUGACGCUCAUGUGCGAAAGCGUGGGGAGCAAACAGG